rnacentral:rRNA from 1 species
UACGUAGGGGGCAAGCGUUGUUCGGAAUUACUGGGCGUAAAGGGCUCGUAGGCGGCCAACUAAGUCAGACGUGAAAUCCCUCAGCUUAACUGAGGAACUGCGUCUGAUACUGGAUGGCUUGGAUUCGGGAGAGGGAUGCGGAAUUCCAGGUGUAGCUGGUGAAAUGCGUAGAUAUCUGGAGGAACACCGGUGGCGAAGGCGGACAUCCUGGACCCGGUAUUGACGCUGACGGCGCGAAAGCCAGGG